rnacentral:rRNA from 1 species
UACGAAGGGGGCUAGCGUUGUUCGGAAUCACUGGGCGUAAAGCGCGCGUAGGCGGCUAUCCAAGUCAGAGGUGAAAUGCCGGGGCUUAACCCCGGAACUGCCUUUGAAACUGGCUAGCUAGAGUAUUGGAGGGGAGCGGGGAAUUCCUAAUGUAGAGGUGAAAUUCGUAGAUAUUAGGAGGAACACCGGUGGCGAAGGCGCCGCUCUGGACAAUGACUGACGCUGAGGUGCGAAAGCGUGGGGAUCAAACAGG